AUUGAACGCUGGCGGCAUGCUUUACACAUGCAAGUCGAACGGCAGCGCGGGCUUCGGCCUGGCGGCGAGUGGCGAACGGGUGAGUAAUGCAUAGGAACGUGCCCAGUAGUGGGGGAUAGCGCGGCGAAAGGCGGAUUAAUACCGCAUACGACCUGAGGGUGAAAGCGGGGGACCGAAAGGCCUCGCGCUAUUGGAGCGGCCGAUGUCGGAUUAGCUAGUUGGUGGGGUAAAGGCUUACCAAGGCGACGAUCCGUAGCUGGUCUGAGAGGACGACCAGCCACACUGGGACUGAGACACGGCCCAGACUCCUACGGGAGGCAGCAGUGGGGAAUUUUGGACAAUGGGGGCAACCCUGAUCCAGCCAUGCCGCGUGCGUGAAGAAGGCCUUCGGGUUGUAAACCGCUUUUGUUCGGGAAGAAAUCCUCUGGGCUAAUACCCCGGGGGUAUGACGGUACCGGAAGAAUAAGCACCGGCUAACUACGUG
rnacentral:rRNA from 1 species